CGGGGUGAGUAAUGCUUGGGAAUCUGGCUUAUGAGGGGGGAUAACUACGGGAAACUGUAGCUAAUACCGCGUAAUAUCGAGAGAUUAAAGGGUGGGACCGCAAGGCCACCUGCCAUGAGAUGAGCCCAAGUGGGAUUAGGUAGUUGGUGAGGUAAAGGCUCACCAAGCCGACGAUCUCUAGCUGGUCUGAGAGGAUGACCAGCCACACUGGAACUGAGACACGGUCCAG
rnacentral:rRNA from 1 species